UACGUAGGGUGCAAGCGUUGUCCGGAAUUAUUGGGCGUAAAGAGCUCGUAGGCGGUUUGUCGCGUCGGCUGUGAAAACCUGGGGCUCAACCCCGGGCCUGCAGCCGAUACGGGCAAACUAGAAUUCGGUAGGGGAGACUGGAAUUCCUGGUGUAGCGGUGAAAUGCGCAGAUAUCAGGAAGAACACCCGUGGCGAAGGCGGUUCUCUGGGACGGUACUGACGCUGAGACGCGAAAGCGUGGGGAGCGAACAGG
rnacentral:rRNA from 1 species